UAAGCAAGACAGACAAUCGCGGCUGCAGGUGCCGAAAGGCAGCAGACGAGGAAAGUCCGGGCUUCACAGGGCAGGAUGCCGGAUAACGUCCGGUGGAGGCAACUCUAAGGCCAGUGCAACAGAAAUAAACCGCCCGGGUUUAUCCCGGGUAAGGGUGGAAAGGCAGUGUAAGAGACUACCGCCUCCCUGGUAACAGAGAGGGCACAUGUAAACCCCAUCCGAAGCAAGACCGAAUAAAAGCUGUGUGGCGGCCCGUCACGCUUUAGGUAGGUCGCUUGAGCCUGGUGGCGACAUCAGGCCUAGAUAGAUGAUUGUCCAAGACAUAACCCGGCUUACAGUCUUGCUUAACCA
rnacentral:RNase_P_RNA from 2 species